CCUACGGGAGGCAGCAGUGGGGAAUAUUGCUCAAUGGGGGAAACCCUGAACCAGCGAAGCCGCGUGAGUGAAGAAGUAAUUCGUUAUGUUAAGCUCUAUCAGCAGGGAAGAAAAUGACGGUACCUGAGUAAGAAGCUCCGGCUACCUACGUGCAAGCAGCCGCGGUACUACGUAGGGGGCCGGCGUUAUCCGGAUUUACUGGGUGUAAAGGGUGUGUAGACGGUAAUGCAAGUCUGGAGUGAAAGGCGUGGGCUCAACCCCCGGACUGCUGUGGAACCUGGACGGCUUGAGUGCAGGAGAGGUAGGUGGAAGUCGUAGUGUAGCGGUGAAAUGCGUAGAUAUUAGGAGGAACACCAGUGGCGAAGGCAGCUUACUGGACUGUAACUGACGCUGAGGCACGAAAGCGUGGGUAGCAAACAGGAUUAGAUACCCCUGUAGUC
rnacentral:rRNA from 1 species